rnacentral:rRNA from 1 species
AACGAGCGCUGGCGGCAUGCCUAACACAUGCAAGUCGAACGAGACCUUCGGGUCUAGUGGCGCACGGGUGCGUAACGCGUGGGAACCUGCCCUUAGGUUCGGAAUAACUCCCCGAAAGGGGUGCUAAUACCGGAUAAUGUCUUCGGACCAAAGAUUUAUCGCCUUUGGAUGGGCCCGCGUUGGAUUAGCUAGUUGGUAGGGUAAAAGCCUACCAAGGCGACGAUCCAUAGCUGGUCUGAGAGGAUGAUCAGCCACACUGGGACUGAGACACGGCCCAGACUCCUACGGGAGGCAGCAGUGGGGAAUAUUGGACACUGGGCGAAAGCCUGAUCCAGCAAUGCCGCGUGAGUGAUGAAGGCCUUAGGGUUGUAAAGCUCUUUUACCCGGGAUGAUAAUGACAGUACCGGGAGAAUAAGCUCCGGCUAACUCCGUG